GGUCCGAGUUGUAAUUUGUAGAGGAUGCUUUGGGUGCGGUGCCUUCCGAGUUCCCUGGAACGGGACGCCUUAGAGGGUGAGAGCCCCGUACGGUUGGACAUCAAGCCUGUGUAAAGCUCCUUCGACGAGUCGAGUAGUUUGGGAAUGCUGCUCUAAAUGGGAGGUAAAUUUCUUCUAAAGCUAAAUAYUGGCCAGAGACCGAUAGCGCACAAGUAGAGUGAUCGAAAGAUGAAAAGCACUUUGAAAAGAGGGUUAAAUAGCACGUGAAAUUGUUGAAAGGGAAGCGUUUGCGACCAGACCUUUUCCCAG
rnacentral:rRNA from 1 species